GGGCCCGUCUCCGAGCAAGGUGGCCUCUAAGCUGCUCCCGCGCCAAGUGGAGGACGGGGCUCCGAGCCACACCCCGUGGAGCAGCUGCGCGGCCUCCGAGGUGGCCUCACACUGCUGGUCCGCGAUCGGCGACCUGCUCCUGGGGCGUCUGCCGCUGCCCGUCGGGUCCUGAGGCCGCGUGGGGCGGCCGAGGGUGUGCCCUGCUGAAGUGCCGAGGCCCCGGCACCUGCGCUCCGGGGCGGCCCUACAGGAGCCUCCGCGCCCUGCUCCGCUCUGUGCGAGGGGCCCAUGGGCUGUCCGGCCACGCCUGUGGCCCCCCAGGUCAAGGCUGCAGGGGCUUGGGGUGCUCUCCUCUGGGGAAAUCUUGGAAGGGGACUGCGGGAAGGAUUUUCAGCGUGCGGCAAAGGAACAGCCAGGUCCUUAAAGCCCUGGUCGCCCCCCUGCCCCCCGAAAGGCUAAUUCUAACCUAAAAAAUAUUGACGAGAGCAAGUAAGCGCGCUCAUGCCACCCCAGUGUUCCUCCUCAAACAUGUGGGUCUAAGCCAGCUGGGCUUGAAAGCCGUUCAGUUCGUGUUUUUGCCAGGAGUUUUGUGGGUGUAAAGUUUAAAAAUAACUAGGUACACACAGGAUGUCUGUGGGGAAAUGUGGGGAAAUUCUAGGCUGGGGAACGGUGCCCGGGGCAGGGGCCCUGGCGGCUGGGCCCUGAGUGUAGGACGAGCCACAGUGUAGGGGUCGGGCCCACGGCCCUGGCUCCAGGGCCAAGCCGGCUGUGUCCCAGCCCUGAUGUGGGUGUGGGUAGUGACUCAGAAAUCCAUCACGGGGAGGACGGGGAGGACGCAGGGCCUGGCAGAAAAGUAAUUAAAGUGAAAAACAGGUGGGAGGGGGUGGAGGAACCCGCACGGGCAGGUGGAAGGCGGGAGCUUGGCCUGAAGGCUCGAAGGCAGAGGGGACUGAACAAAACCGAAGGGAGCGGCCGAGGCCUGGUGAACCCGCACUCACGGGUUUUCCUGCCUGCGUGGACUUCCCCGUCCCCAGCCUGCAGGACGCGGGCUGCUCUGCACCGGGGCCCGGUACCGAACCUGCAAGGCCGAGCGUCCGGUGAUUUGCCCUGAGUCAGGCACAAGCGGGUGCUCGCACGUCGCGGCACCAGGAGGUGUGCUCGGGCGGCGAGAGCCAGCAGGCUUCCUGGAGGAGGUGCCGGUGGCGUCGGGAUGCGGGUGGGCUGCGUUGGGGGAACAGCCUGACCUCUGGCACGUGGGUGGGAAAGCACAGCGUGGACUUCGUGGAGCCGAGGGCCUGCUGGGCGGGAGCAGGGAACAGUGGGCGCUCGCAGGGGAGGGUGACGGCUGCCGGGGUGAAGGCCUGGAGGGCGGAUCUGGGGGGAACACUUCUGCCUGGUUGGCCCCAGGGGGCCGUGGCAGGGUUUUAGCAGGAGGGUGUGCAGAGCAUUUUCUAGAAAACUUGGCAGGAGCGGGGCAGGUGUUGGAGCCACAGAAACCAGUUGGGGGUCUGUGGUCACGGCCUCAGACGGUGAUAACUCGGUUUAUGAAGACGCACCAGCGGGCCCAGCUCUCAGACGACAGAUGGGGGUGCAGGAGUGCUAGAAAUACUGGUGCUUUUUCUUCAGAUCCAACUAAUUCUUUCUUUUGUUUGUUUUUAAAGAUUUUUAUCUAUUUAUUCAUGAGAGACCCAGGCAGAGGGAGAAGCAGGCUCCACGCAGGAUGCCCAAUGUGGGACUCGAUCCCAGGACCCCAGGGUCAUGCCUUGGGCUGCAGGUGGUGCUAAACCGCUGAGCCCGCCCCCCGGGCUGCCCUGAUCCAACUAAUUGUGAUUUAAAGCCAUGAGCCACAGGGAAAUCCCUUUACACUAAUUGUAAUUGAGGGGGACCCUCCCCCGAAUGGGACGUGAGAGUCUGGGAGGAUUAUACGGUACGUGAACGGGGGAGGGCCUUGCCGUCCUCGCCGUCCAGCCCCAGGAACGGGGACAGAUUGGGGGGACGCUGAGAACACUCAACGGGCGCUGGGGUUUUGCUGUUUUAUCGCCCUUAUUUUUUAAUUAUGUGAUUAAUAAAUGCUUAUCAUCGAAAACACGUCAAGUGGAGAAAAGGAAAAUGAAGCAGAAAACAUCCACCCCCCGUGAUGGCAGGACGCGGAUGCAAGGGAGCGCAGGGCGGGCUCCGCUGUGUUGGCGUCGCCCUCGCGGCCCGUGCCCCUCUGGCCUGUUCCCGAGGCGGGCGGCGACAAGCACAAGCGCAAGGCUCUGCCUCGGUUCGGGAUGAUCUCGUCUGUCCAGGCCCCGAGCCCUGGGGGGGGCGCACAGGGCGUGAGUGUCGGGCGGGGGGCCAAGGAGCUCAGGCCAACCACUGUGAGGAGCCUCGUGCACAUGUCCCUGACUCGAAAGGUGACCCCACUUGUUGUGGCGUCAGGCUCUGCCCCCGAGGCCACCUGUUCCUUACAAUGACCCCCUGAAGGCGGCCUCUUCUGCUCAAGUGACCGUAUUGCAGCCCCUUGAACCUCGCCCGGGGAGGGUCACCCUGCACCCGCGCCGCUCGCCGCCUGUUGCCAACGCAGGGACCAAGGCCGAGAAGUGGGGCCGUUUGAUCCGCGUCCCACAGCCACUGAGUGUCCUGAUGGCCUCACCUCCGCCUUCUGAGUGUGGUGGGGAGGACGGAGGGGACCCCGCGGGCGCCAAGGGGCUCGGCGGAGGAGCUGGAGCUGCGGGUCCCACCGACGGCUGCAGAGCUCCGG
rnacentral:lncRNA from 1 species